rnacentral:pre_miRNA from 1 species
AACACAUUUGAUGUAGCUGCUGGACACUGCACAAGAAUUACUUAAAAGUCGCCACUCGGACUUGUACCUAUAAUAUCAUAUUAUUGUACACGGAGAGUGGUGGCGCCACACGUCUUGUGCGUGUGACAUCGGCUAUGUCGGGUGUGCGCAUAACUACA